UACAGAGGUCCCAAGCGUUUGUUCGGAUUCACUGGGCGUAAAGGGUGCGUAGGUGGUGAGGAAAGUCGGAUGUGAAAUCUCCAAGCUCAACUUGGAAAAUGCAUUGGAAACUACCUUGCUCGAGGUUUGGAGGGGGGACUGGAAUUCUCGGUGUAGCAGUGAAAUGCGUAGAUAUCGAGAGGAACACCAGUGGCGAAGGCGAGUCCCUGGACAACACCUGACACUGAGGCACGAAAGCUAGGGGAGCAAACAGG
rnacentral:rRNA from 1 species